UACGGAGGGUGCGAGCGUUGUCCGGAAUCAUUGGGCGUAAAGGGCGCGUAGGUGGCCCGGUCAGCGUGCGGUGAAAGCUCGGGGCUCAACCCCGAGUCGGCCGUGCGAACUGCUGGGCUGGAGCACUGUAGAGGCAGGCGGAAUUCCGGGUGUAGCGGUGGAAUGCGUAGAGAUCCGGAAGAACACCGGUGGCGAAGGCGGCCUGCUGGGCAGUGGCUGACACUGAGGCGCGACAGCGUGGGGAGCAAACAGG
rnacentral:rRNA from 1 species